rnacentral:tRNA from 1 species
GGGUCAGUAGCUCAGCGGUAGAGCAUCGCUCUCUUAAAGCGGGGGUUGUGGGGUCAGCACCCACCUGGCUCACCA